rnacentral:tRNA from 1 species
GGCAUGAUGGCUGAAUGGUUAAGCGCUUGGCUUCUGAACCAGGGAUCAUGGGUUUAAAUCUUGGUUAAGCCA